UCUUGGCUGAUUUCUUUUGAUUUUCCCAUGAUGUCAAGCAAAGACGCACAGAGUUUGAAGGCAGAAACUCAAACAGGAUGUUCCAGUGACGAGAACCAUUCAGCGCUGGUCCGACCAAUCGGAAGCCACGCUUCAAGGUUGUUUUGAUCACGUGUCCUGGAAUAUGUUCCGGUUAGCCUCAGAGAACAACAUUGACCUAUACGCUGAGUCGGUGAGUGCGUUUAUAAAGUGCAUUGGAGAUGCUGUACCCACUGUAACUAUUAAAACCUACCCUAACCAGAAACUGUGGAUAGAUGGCGGCAUUCAGGCAAAACUGAAAGCGCGAUCCAACGCAUUUAACCAUGGAAAGAGGUCUGGGAAUAUGUCUGAAUAUAAACAGUGUAGCUAUUCCCUCCGCAAGGCAAUCAAACAAGUGAAAAGCCAGUCCAGGGACAAGGUGGAGUCGCAAUUCAAUGGCUCAGACUUGAAACGCAUGUGGCGGGAUCUACAGGAAAUCACGGACAACAAAAAGAAAUUCAGCCACGUCACGGACACCGACGUCACGCUUCCAGACAAACUAAACACCUUCUCUGCCUGCUUUAUGGAUAAUACAUUCCCACCGUCGCGGCCCGUUAACAAGGACAGCAUCCCCCCCCCUCUCUCUCCUUCGCCGUGGCUGACAUGAGUCAAAAUAUUUAAAUGUGUUAACCCUCGCAAGGCUGCUGGCCCAGACGGCAUCCCUAGCCGCGUCCUCAAAGCAUGUGCAGACCAGCUGGCUGGUGUGUUUACGGACAUAUUCAAUCACUCCCUAUCCCAGUCUGUUGUCCCCACAUGCUUCAAGAUGGCUACCAUUGUUCCUG
ensembl:lncRNA